rnacentral:rRNA from 1 species
CCUACGGGAGGCAGCAGUUAGGAAUAUUGGUCAAUGGGCGGGAGCCUGAACCAGCCAAGCCGCGUGAGGGAAGAAGGUACAGCGUAUCGUAAACCUCUUUUGUCAGGGAACAAAGGCGGGGACUAGUCCCCGGAUGAGGGUACCUGAAGAAAAAGCAUCGGCUAACUCCGUGCCAGCAGCCGCGGUAAUACGGAGGAUGCGAGCGUUAUCCGGAAUCAUUGGGCGUAAAGAGUUCGUAGGCGGUAUGUUAAGUCUGGUGUUAAAUGCAGAAGCUCAACUUCUGUUCGGCACUGGAUACUGGCAAACUAGAAUGCGGUAGAGGUAAAGGGAAUUCCUGGUGUAGCGGUGAAAUGCUUAGAUAUCAGGAGGAACAUCGGUGGCGUAAGCGCUUUACUGGGCCGUAAUUGACGCUGAGGAACGAAAGCCAGGGUAGCAAAUGGGAUUAGAUACCCUUGUAGUC